rnacentral:rRNA from 1 species
CCUACGGGUGGCAGCAGUGGGGAAUAUUGCGCAAUGGGCGAAAGCCUGACGCAGCGACGCCGCGUGAGGGAUGAAGGUCUUCGGAUCGUAAACCUCUGUCAGCAGGGAAGAACGGUCACUGUGCUAAUCAGCAGUGAAUUGACGGUACCUGCAAAGGAAGCACCGGCUAACUCCGUGCCAGCAGCCGCGGUACUACGGAGGGUGCGAGCGUUAAUCGGAAUUACUGGGCGGAAAGCGCUCGUAGGCGGUCUGGCAAGCCAAGGGGGAAAUCCCCGCGCUCACAGUGCGAACUGCCUUUGAAACUGGCAAACUGGAGUGUGUGAGAGGAUAGUGGAAUGCCAGGUGUAGGAGUGAAAUCCGUAGAUAUCUGGAGGAACAUCAGUGGCGAAGGCGACUAUCUGGCACAUAACUGACGCUGAGGAGCGAAAGCGUGGGUAGCAAACAGGAUUAGAUACCCGUGUAGUC